rnacentral:rRNA from 1 species
AAUUUACAAUGAAGAGUUUGAUCCUGGCUCAGGAUGAACGCUAGCGAUAGGCCUAACACAUGCAAGUCGAGGGGCAGCACAUGAAGUAGCAAUACGGAUGGUGGCGACCGGCGCACGGGUGAGUAACGCGUAUGCAACCUGCCUACAACAAGGGAAUAACCCGUUGAAAGACGGACUAAUACCCUAUAAUACAGGGGUCCCGCAUGGGAAUAUUUGUUAAAGAUUUAUCGGUUGUAGAUGGGCAUGCGUUCCAUUAGCUAGUUGGUGAGGUAAGGGCUCACCAAGGCAACGAUGGAUAGGGGAACUGAGAGGUUUAUCCCCCACACUGGUACUGAGACACGGACCAGACUCCUACGGGAGGCAGCAGUGAGGGAUUUUCCGCAAUGGACGAAAGUCUGACGGAGCAAUGCCGCGUGAAGGAAGA